CUAUUAAACAAAACCAAACCCUUACUACUUCACCCCACUUCCUAGGUUUUAUAUAUCCCUCUUCCCUCACCCUUUUUCUUUGCUUCUUCAUCUGCUUCUCUUGUUCUCUCUCUCUCCCCCCUCCCUCUCUAGCUCUUUCUUUCUCUCUCGAGAGAUGAAAAAAUAGCUAGGUCUUCUAUGGUGUGAUCUUCCAUGGUUGGAAAUAAAAAUGGGAGAUUGAGGUUGAUGGGAAUGUUGUUUGGCUCGAGGUCACUUAUUGAGUAGUUGUAUACCCUUUAUAAUGAGAUCUCGGACCAGGCUUCAUUCCCGUCGACUUGAUCUCUCUCGUUCUCUCUUUUUCAUUUUCGAUCUCUCUUCUGAAGACGAAGAGAGAUCCAAUCUCCCUUGAGGAUGAUGCAUCAUGAUUAGGGCAAUUUUUUUUUAUUUCUUAUUUACAAGUUAGAGAAAUUUGGGUUUUAAAAAUUUGAACUACUAACAUUAUAAAUAAGAUCAGUUUACAUUGGGAAUAAUAUAGACAUAGACAUAAUUAAUUAAUUGCAUGGAAGAAACAUGAAACAUUUAUCUAACAUUAUUCCAGCGAGUUAAGAUCGAUCGAUCACAAAAGAUAGAUGUUGUUUUGACGUUGAUGACCAUGCUGUCACUGUGUUUUCAGUCUAGUAUAUUAUGUAUAUGGCUGAAUAAAAAAUUGUUUUACUUCCAUUAUUGGUUAUUAUUAUAUGAUGAUUGCCUAGUGAUUAUUUAUUUAUCUAGUGUAUGUGAAACAUUAUUAUUUUUUAAUUAUUUUAAAUAAGGUAAAAACAAAGAUGUACUUCAACUUUAUGUAAAGUUGAUAAUUAAGAGCGUUAGAUGAUAAAUCAUUUAAUAAUUUUUCAGUCAUCAACUUCAUGAAAUCAACGGCACAUGAGUUUCAACCUUUAAAUAAUAAUGUGUGUGGAGAUUAGAGAAACCCAAUGCAAGGGAAUUUGAAAUUCUGUAAAUAUUUGUCAGGCUAGAAUCUUUAGGGUUUCAGUUCCAUGCCUGCUUUUAUUUCCUUGCUUUCAAGUUUCAGCCUACCCUCAUUAUUUCUGGUGGUGCUGUUGCUUUUUUCAUGGGGAAUGCCUGGAUCCAGUUUUAUUUUGGCUACAUGCUUGGGUUCCAACUUCCAAGACACAAGAUUAGUUUUAGGGAUUUAGAACAAAGUGAUGGAUAGCACACAUAUUUUUUUUCUCCCUUUCUUCUGUUUAUUAUUAAUAGUUAUUAUAUUACCCCUUAACUAUUUUUCUUGUUUCUUCAAAUUUGAAAUUUUGUGUAUAAUGUAGCAGUCAUGGAUAUGGAGAUGUGGAUCACUUUGGCUUUUAAAUAAACCUGUAAAUUAACAUGAGGAACUAAUUUUUAUUGCACCUAAUUUUUA